rnacentral:rRNA from 1 species
UGUAGUCAUAUGCUUGUCUCAAAGAUUAAGCCAUGCAUGUCUAAGUAUAAGCAAUUACAAAGCGAAACUGCGAAUGGCUCAUUAUAUAAGUUAUCGUUUAUUUGAUAGUACCUUACUACAUGGAUAACCGUGGUAAUUCUAGAGCUAAUACAUGCUGAAAAUCCCGACUUCGGAAGGGAUGUAUUUAUUAGAUACAAAACCAAUGCCCUUCGGGGCUCUCUUGGUGAUUCAUGAUAACUUCUCGAAUCGCACGGCCCCGCGCCGGCGAUGGUUCAUUCAAAUCUCUUCCCUAUCAACUUUCGAUGCUACGGUAUUGUCCUAGCAUGGUUGCAACGGGUGACGGAGGGUUAGGGCUCGACCCCGGAGAAGGAGCCUGAGAAACGGCUACUACAUCCAAGGAAGGCAGCAGGCGCGCAAAUUACCCAAUCCCGACUCGGGGAGGUAGUGACAAUAAAUACUGAUACAGGGCUCUUUUGGGUCCUGUAAUUGGAAUGAGUACAAUUCAAAUCCCUUAACGAGGAACAAUUGGAGGGCAAGUCUGGUAAUCG